UUCUAUCUCUUAAUAAAGUCCAGUCAAUUUCAUUUUCCUCUCCUCAAUUCCUCUAUUAUUUGUGCAUCACAAACAAGAUAAUAAUAUCUUAAAAGGAAUCAUUUACUAAUAUAUGUUUUUAUUCUACUUCAAAACACUCACAUGCCUUGUUUCAUAAAAUGUACGUGUUCACAAAACAUCAUUCCCUUGUGUGAAUAUAGCAUAGUUUACCAAUUUGCUAUUCUUCACAUGGUAUGAAAUGAGACGAGACUAUCUCUUGUUCAUUCAUAUUUUCCAGAUCUAAAUUAAAGGAAACAAAACAAAACAAAAGGCAAAAACAAAAAUAAGUUUCAUUUUCAAAUCUAUUGGUUUAAGCAUCAACAAUCUCCUUAGUUUCAGCAGAAGCCAAAACAAGGUUGGGUGUUUCUAUUCCAAGUUCACAUGUUCCAUCAAUGGCAUUGUUCUUCCCCAAUGCUUUCAAUGCCAAAUGUGCUGCCUUCUGCCCGGAUAUCAUCAUGGCCCCAAAUGUUGGGCCCUACAAAAAUAAACAACAAAAUUUGUCAUUUAACACAUCUAUCUAAGCUUAAUGUUCUUUUUUUUCUUCAUUCCAAAACUAGAUGCAAAUUCAGGGUUUGUUUCUUUGUUUAAGAUGCAUGCAUAUAUAUAUAUAUAUAAAUUAGUUAAUUAGGGUAAGAGAUGCAUAUACCAUUCUUGGGGAUCCAUCAAUUUCCGCAACUUCCAUGCCAGUGACAAUCAUCCCAGGUACAAUCUCCCUAGUGAGGUUAACAAUAGCAUCCUCAGCAGCAUUCAUGUCAAGUGCUUUCAUUCCAGGAACACUCUCUAUCAUGCCAAUACUCCUCAGCCUCUUAACCCCAGUAGCACCAAAUGGCCCAUCAUGUCCACAUGAACUCACCACAACCUUAGCCUCCAUGACAUUAGGGUCCAUGCAAGACUGUGUAUCAUGGUUCAUAGAAACCAAAGCCCAGUUGGUGACAACACCACCCACUCUCCCUCCUUUAACAAUCAAAUCCUCAACAGCCACAGCAUUGAACAACUUGACAUUAGGUCUAGCAAGAAGCUUGCUCAUGAUGGUUGAAGUGAAUAAUGCUGCAUGCUUUAUAACAACAUAAUCU
rnacentral:lncRNA from 1 species